rnacentral:rRNA from 1 species
UACAGAGGUCUCAAGCGUUGUUCGGAUUCAUUGGGCGUAAAGGGUGCGUAGGUGGCGCGAUAAGUCGGGUGUGAAAUCUCGGAGCUUAACUCCGAAAUUGCAUUCGAUACUGCCGUGCUCGAGGACUGGAGAGGAGACUGGAAUUCAUGGUGUAGCGGUGAAAUGCGUAGAGUAUCGAGAUACGGAGGACCGAGGCGGCA